rnacentral:rRNA from 1 species
CGGACGGGUGAGUAAUGUCUGGGAAACUGCCUGAUGGAGGGGGAUAACUACUGGAAACGGUAGCUAAUACCGCAUAACGUCGCAAGACCAAAGAGGGGGACCUUCGGGCCUCUUGCCAUCGGAUGUGCCCAGAUGGGAUUAGCUAGUAGGUGGGGUAACGGCUCACCUAGGUGACGAUCCCUAGCUGGUCUGAGAGGAUGACCAGCCACACUGGAACUGAGGCACGGUCCAG